CAGCCGCCACGGGAAUACAGAGGAUGCAAGCGUUAUCCGGAGUGAUUGGGCGUAAAGCGUCUGUAGGUGGCUUUUCAAGUCCACCGUCAAAUCCCAGGGCUCAACCCUGGACAGGCGGUGGAAACUACCAAGCUAGAGUACGGUAGGGGCAGAGGGAAUUUCCGGUGGAGCAGUGAAAUGCGUCGAGAUCGGAAAGAACACCAACGGCGAAAGCACUCUGCUGGGCCGACACUGACACUGAGAGACGAAAGCUAGGGGAGCAAAUGGGAUUAGAUACCCCCGUAGUCCCUGUCUCUUAUAA
rnacentral:rRNA from 1 species